AUAAGGGGGGUUGCCACCUGGCCUCCCAGCAUUCCCUUGGCUGAGAUUUUCUUUUUUGCCUUCUGUCCAGGCUUGUGGACAGGACAACAGCACAUCUCACAGGAGAAAAAAAAGGCUUGUGGACAUCACAGGUUAACAAUACAGAUGGGCUUUGGAUAGGGGAGGAUUUCUGGGACUAUCUCCUCAUAAUAUCCAUCACCACCCCAACCCACCACCCUCUGAAUUAAAUACCCACUUAAAAGAACUUAAAGGAUCCAGUUAACAGACAUACUUUGGCAGUUAACAGUCGGCACGAUAAUAAGAGGCCAAAGUGAGUGAAUUUCAAUAAGGUAACACAUUUGAUCUGCCAAAAAGGGAGCAGAGUGUGUCUGCCAACACUAUAUUGAAACUGAAGUCAGUAAGCUCUAUCCAGUUCAGAGGCAGAUGUGCUUGUUUUACAUAACAGUUGGGCAUUCUUAAGAUAAGCACCCGCUCUCAUUUACCUGAUAAACAAAAGUGAGAACUGGGUGUCCACCAGUUGGCUAGAGGCGCACACUCAUGGUGUCUGACAAGCCUCGUCACCCGCUUUGAAGACAUGAGCCUCCUAAUUUCCUCUUAGAAACUCUUACGGAUGAUGUAACUGUGUUUGAAAAUGAAUAAAAAGGGCUGCCUAAUGGUUGUCUCUCCUUACAGGAAAAGGCCACAGGGGCUAGUCCCUGCUUAAAAAAAAUUAUGUUUCUGAAUACAACAGAUUAACACAAAAACAUUAUGGAAGUGUGUGCCGACGUGUGGUUAGCGCUAUAAAACUUUCACCAGUAAUAUAUGAGGAAGUAUAUCGAGUGGACAUGUAAAAAUAAUGUAAUAUAAUAUCAUUUGUAUGUAUUACAAUAUAUUUUUAUGUCAUAUAUGUCAUUUUACUA